AGCAGCUCAUUGGGCGUAAAGGGUGCGCAGGCGGUUUUGUAAGACAGAGGUGAAAUCCCCGAGCUCAACCUGGGAACUGCCUUUGUGACUGCAAGGCUGGAGUGCGGCAGAGGGGGAUGGAAUUCCGCGUGUAGCAGUGAAAUGCGUAGAUAUGCGGAGGAACACCGAUGGCGAAGGCAAUCCCCUGGGCCUGCACUGACGCUCAUGCACGAAAGCGUGGGGAGCAAACA
rnacentral:rRNA from 1 species